AGAGUUUGAUCCUGGCUCAGGACGAACGCUGGCGGCGUGCCUAAUGCAUGCAAGUCGAACGCAGCGAGCUUGCUCGGCUGCGUGGCGCACGGCUGAGGAACACGUGGGUACCAACCCCGGAGUGGGGGAUACCCCGUCGAAAGACGGGACAAUCCCGCAUACGGUCCGCGAGGAAGAAAGGCGCAAGCCGCUCUGGGACGGGCCUGCGGCCCAUCAGGUAGUUGGUGUGGUAACGGCACACCAAGCCGAUGACGGGUCCCUGGUCUGAGAGGACGACCAGGCAGACUGGGACUGAGAUACGGCCCAGACUCCUACGGGAGGCAGCAGCAAGGAAUUUUCCCCAAUGGGCGCAAGCCUGAGGGAGCAACGCCGCGUGGAGGAUGACGGCCUUCGGGUUGUAAACUCCUUUUUAGGGGGACGAUAAUGACGGUACCCCUGGAAGAAGCCCCGGCUAACUCCGUGCCAGCAGCCGCGGUAAGACGGAGGGGGCAAGCGUUGUCCGGAAUUACUGGGCGUAAAGCGCGCGUAGGCGGUGCGUUGCGUCGGUGCUGAAAGCGCCAGGCUUAACCUGGCGAGGCGUGCCGAUACGAACGAACUAGAGGCAGGCAGAGGGUGGCGGAAUUCCGGGUGUAGUGGUGAAAUGCGUAGAGAUCCGGAGGAACGCCGGUGGCGCAAGCGGCCACCUGGGCCUGACCUGACGCUGAGGCGGGAAAGCGUGGGGAGCAAACCGGAUUAGGAUACCCGGGUAGGUCCAGGCAGUAAACGAUGCUGGCUCGGUGUCUAGAACCCGUUAUGGGUUCCAGGUGCCUAAGCAUACGCGGUAAGCCAGCCGCCUGGGGAGUACGAGCGCAAGCUUAAAACUCAAAGGAAUGGACGGG
rnacentral:rRNA from 1 species